UUCUGCUUCAUCACGUUCGUUCUUCCAUUGUUGUUACUAUUAUGUCGAGCUUAUCCGACUCUUUCAUGGAGUUUUUUUGAUGAACAUGCCUGAUAUUGUAGAUGUGGUAAUGAAGCAUUAUUGAAGACUUCUUGGACCCAAUUAAACCCAGGUCGCAGAUUUUUAUGUUGUAAAAUACCAAAAAAAAUGGGUGGUUGUGAUUAUUUCUUUUGGAUUGAAGAUAGGCACCCUGCGCAAGCAAAUAGGGUGAUGUGGGGUUUGUUGAAGAAAGUGAAGGCUUUUGAGGAGAAAAGAAUUCGAGCAAGAAACAUGAUCAUUGUUCUUUUGCCAUUGUUUGCUGGUUUUGUGAUGCUCGGGAUAUGAAAAAUCAAGCCAAAUUGUUAGAUGGAGCAGUACAAUAUGUGCUCCUUAAGUACUUGCCUUUUGCUAAGUUGUGUAGUUGUAAUAUUGUUAGGAUUCUUGGAAUGUAAUUUGGUUACUGCAUUGUUGUGACAAUUUUGUAUUUUGGCAUGGCUGAACUUUGGCCAACAGUCACUCAUGUAAACCAGCAUUUUGAAUGAAAUGAAAUGAAAUGUUGUUUUGUCUA